CGUGUAGGCGGCCAUGUAAGUCGGACGUGAAAGCCCACGGCUCAACCGUGGAAGUGCGCUCGAAACUGCGUAGCUUGAGUCUUGGAGAGGAAGGCGGAAUACUUGGUGUAGAGGUGAAAUUCGUAGAUAUCAGGUAGAACACCAGUGGCGAAGGCGGCCUUCUGGACAAUGACUGACGCUGAGACGCGAAAGCGUGGGGAGCAAACAGGAUUAGAUACCCUGGUAGUCCACGCCGUAAACGAUGAGUGCUAGGUGUCACGAGCUUUGACCCUCGUGGUGCCGAAGCUAACGCGUUAAGCACUCCGCCUGGGGAGUACGGCCGCAAGGCUAAA
rnacentral:rRNA from 1 species